GUGGGGAAUCUUGCGCAAUGGGCGAAAGCCUGACGCAGCCAUGCCGCGUGGAUGAUGAAGGUCUUAGGAUUGUAAAAUCCUUUCACCGGUGAAGAUAAUGACUGUAGCCGGAGAAGAAGCCCCGGCUAACUUCGUGCCAGCAGCCGCGGUAAUACGAAGGGGGCUAGCGUUGCUCGGAAUUACUGGGCGUAAAGGGAGCGUAGGCGGACAUUUAAGUCAGGGGUGAAAUCCCGAGGCUCAACCUCGGAACUGCCUUUGAUACUGGGUGUCUUGAGUGUGAGAGAGGUGAGUGGAACUCCGAGUGUAGAGGUGAAAUUCGUAGAUAUUCGGAAGAACACCAGUGGCGAAGGCGACUCACUGGCCCAAUACUGACGCUGAGGCGCGAAAGCGUGGGGAGCAAACAGGAUUAGAAACCCUUGUAGUCC
rnacentral:rRNA from 1 species